rnacentral:lncRNA from 1 species
UCGUCUAUAUGGACAAAAUUUAUAGAACCUUUAUUUGCCAUGACUGCUUCCUUGGAUUAAUCUGUUCAUUCUUUAUAAUUCAGGCUGAUGUGGAUGGAAAUGGGACAAUUGAUUAUAUUGAAUUUAUAACUGCUACGAUGCAUAGACAUAAGCUUGAACGAGACGAGCAUCUCUUUAAAGCUUUUCAGUAUUUUGACAAGGAUAACAGUGGGUAAGCCAUGAUAAUGGUCUAAUGUCAACUGCAUUUAUCUUGUACACAUCUAAGGAAGUUUGUUAAGUUGGAUUAACAGUACUGGACUGUUUAACAAAGAAAAAGAAGUCAAAAUCCUCUGAUUAUGUGUUAAAUUAGUGCUACCUUGUGGGGUUUUUCAUGCUUUCCUUGCAUUAUCCAUGACAUUUGUCAUCGCCUAAUUUCCUAGUGUCAUUUCAGCUAUAUUACGAGAGAUGAACUGGAAACUGCUAUGAAGGAGUACGGUAUGGGUGAUGAGGCCACAAUCAAGGAAAUAAUUUCAGAAGUUGAUACAGAUAAUGUAAGCGUAUGCCUGAUUCAAGAAAUGAGAUAAGACACCUUGUGAUUAGAUAUAGACCAGCAUUAUAUUGUUUCAUUUUAUAGGAUGGACGGAUCAACUACGAGGAGUUCUGUCAAAUGAUGAGAAGCGGAACAACACAACAGGCGAAGCUCUUCUAGUGUCGAGGCAAAUAAUGUUUUGAGCAGUUCGUUUUUUGGACUCAUGAGAAUGUUCUGUAAGGAUGACGAGAUGCUGGGGACGAGGUGCAAGAUGACGUUUUAUCUUGAUUUCUUGUCGGAUUAUCAACUGCUUUCGUGACAUUGAAGGGAGUAUUGGUUAAGAAUUUGUGAGGCCUUUUUGUUCAGAUAGCUGUAGAUGGUGUUGUGCAUACUCUAUUCCAUUACUAAUUUGUGUUUAUCCGUAAUGUAUUGGAUGCCCAAUAAAUUUUAUACUUACAAUAGUGUUUAUUCUUGUAAGUGGAUUCCUGUGUGGUAAACGAUUGGGAUUAAAUAUGCCCACCGUUCUCCCUGGAUUUGUUGACAGCAGAUAUCAUUCUCAUCUAACGGAUUACUUGGUCUAGUAGAUUACACGGA